GACGAACGCUGGCGGCGUGCUUAACACAUGCAAGUCGAACGGAAAGGCCCUGCUUUUGUGGGGUGCUCGAGUGGCGAACGGGUGAGUAACACGUGAGUAACCUACCCUUUACUUUGGGAUAACUUCAGGAAACUGGGGCUAAUACCGGAUAGGAGCUCCUGCUGCAUGGUGGUGGUUGGAAAGUUGCGUCGGUUGGGGAUGGACUCGCGGCUUAUCAGCUUGUUGGUGGGGUAGUGGCUUACCAAGGCUUUGAAGGGUAGCCGGCCUGAGAGGGUAACCGGCCACAUUGGGACUGAGCUGCGGCACAGACUCAUAUGGGAGGCAGCAGAGGAGUAUAGAACACAACGGGAGGAAGCCUAAUGUAGUAAAGCCGCGUGGGGGAUGACAGGCUUGGGGUUGUAACGCGAAUUCGCGUGUGACGAAGAGUGAGUGACGGUAAUAGAUAAAGAAGCACCGGCUAACUACGUG
rnacentral:rRNA from 1 species